UUUUAAAGUUAGAUAUUACAAUAAAAAAUCAAAUGUAGAAAUUGAAAGAGUUCAUCAAAUUAAAAUAAUAAGGAAAAGAAGGAAAAAAACACCUAAUAAACAUUUUACAAUACUGUUAUUGGAAUAUUAACUCAAAUUUGAGAUUAGAUGUAGUAAUGCUAUAACUUGCGUUGUUCUUUAAUGACAAUAGUAUAGAUUAAUAUUAUAAUUUAUGAAUUCAUGUUGUUAAAGUAUGUAUUUAUGAAAAAAGAUAAAACGUCUUUUUACAUUCAAUUUAUAAUUUAAUUAGAUUUUAUUUGAAUUAUAUGAUCAACAUUUAAAUACUAUUAUCUUUUUCAUGUAAAUAUUGACUAAGUUUAAUUACAUAAUUUUUUUUUUAAAAGAAAAGAAAUAAAAAUCUAACAUACUUUGUUUAUUGACUAAAGACAUUAUUUACGUGAUAUCAGGUUUGAGUACACACUCCCUCAAUCCCCUUAUUUAAACAAGGAAAGAAAUAAAAAAUAAAAAAUAUUAAAGAGCAAGACAAAAGGGUUAGAGUUCAAAAAGAUUUUAAAAAUAAACAACACUUAAAAAAUGGAAUGUUUGAUAGGGAUGGAUAUUUGGUAGAAUUGUAGAGGAGGGGUGCCGAGUGAGCUGACACUCUUGUAACAAGAAUAAAUAAUUUUAAAAAUUUUUAAAAAAUCGUAUGGG
rnacentral:misc_RNA from 1 species